UGCUAUCGGAUUGGUACUAAGCCAUGUGAGUCGUUGUAGCAAUACAAGGCAUACGGCUCAGUAACACGUAGUCAAUCUAACCUAUGGACGGGGAUAACCUCGGGAAACUGAGGAUAAACCCCGAUAGAUCAUUAUGCCUGGAACGGUUUAUGGUCUAAAUGAUUCGUCGCCGUAGGGUGGGACUGCGGCCUAUCAGCUUGUUGGUGAGGUAAUGGCCCACCAAGGCUAUUACAGGUACGGGCUCUGAGAGGAGAAGCCCGGAGAUGGGUACUGAGACACGGACCCAGGCCCUAUGGGGCGCAGCAGGCGAGAAACCUUUGCAAUGUGCGCAAGCACGACAAGGUUAAUCCGAGUGUUUCCUGCUAAAGGAAUCUUUUGUUAGUUGUAAAACCACUGAUGAAUAAGGGGUGGGCAAGUUCUGGUGUCAGCCGCCGCGGUAAAACCAGCACCUCAAGUGGUCAGGAUGAUUAUUGGGCCUAAAGCAUCCGUAGCCUGUUCUAUAAGUUUCCGGUUAAAUCCAUUAGCUCAACUAAUGGGCUGCCGAAAAUACUGUAGAACUAGGGAGUGGGAGAGGUAGACGGUACUCGGUAGGANGGGGUAAAAUCCUUUUGAUCUAUUUGAUGACCACCUGUGGCGAAGGCGGUCUACCAGAACACGUUCGACGGUGAGGGAUGAAAGCUGGGGGGAGCAAACCGGGAUUAGAUACCCGGGUAGUCCCAGCUGUAAACGAUGCAGACUCGGUGAUGCCCUGGCUUGUGGCCAGUGCAGUGCCGCAGGGAAGCCGUUAAGUUUGCCGCCUGGGAAGUACGUACGCAAGUAUGAAACUUAAAGGAAUUGGCGGGGGGAGCAC
rnacentral:rRNA from 1 species